rnacentral:rRNA from 1 species
ACGCUGGCGGCAGGCCUAACACAUGCAAGUCGAGCGGUAGAGAGAAGCUUGCUUCUCUUGAGAGCGGCGGACGGGUGAGUAAUGCCUAGGAAUCUGCCUGGUAGUGGGGGAUAACGUUCGGAAACGGACGCUAAUACCGCAUACGUCCUACGGGAGAAAGCAGGGGACCUUCGGGCCUUGCGCUAUCAGAUGAGCCUAGGUCGGAUUAGCUAGUUGGUGAGGUAAUGGCUCACCAAGGCGACGAUCCGUAACUGGUCUGAGAGGAUGAUCAGUCACACUGGAACUGAGACACGGUCCAGACUCCUACGGGAGGCAGCAGUGGGGAAUAUUGGACAAUGGGCGAAAGCCUGAUCCAGCCAUGCCGCGUGUGUGAAGAAGGUCUUCGGAUUGUAAAGCACUUUAAGUUGGGAGGAAGGGUUGUAGAUUAAUACUCUGCAAUUUUGACGUUACCGACAGAAUAAGCACCGGCUAACUCUGUGCCAGCAGCCGCGGUAAUACAGAGGGUGCAAGCGUUAAUCGGAAUUACUGGGCGUAAAGCGCGCGUAGGUGGUUUGUUAAGUUGGAUGUGAAAUCCCCGGGCUCAACCUGGGAACUGCAUUCAAAACUGACUGACUAGAGUAUGGUAGAGGGUGGUGGAAUUUCCUGUGUAGCGGUGAAAUGCGUAGAUAUAGGAAGGAACACCAGUGGCGAAGGCGACCACCUGGACUGAUACUGACACUGAGGUGCGAAAGCGUGGGAGCAAAC